CGAGUACAGCGCCCCUAUGAGCCGGUCACCUUCUCAAAGCCCCGCCGUGUGUGCCUGAGGCUCCGGGAGGGGCGACCUCUGGAUAUAAACCACAGCACCGUGAUACGCACGAAAGAGUGAAUGAUUAACAGCUAAUGUCUACUAAUCAGUGGAAUGAUCAGCGCACAGAAAUAAUUAAGGGACUGUCCCAGGACGUUUCUUGGAGGGCCUGCAAUGGGCAUUGGUAACCAGGAGUCCUAGAAACCUGUGUGAGCCUCAGGUUUGCAGCGGUACUGCCAGAUUCUGGAUAAGCCACAAGGACAGCGGGGC
rnacentral:lncRNA from 1 species